rnacentral:rRNA from 1 species
UACGGAGGGGGCGAGCGUUGUUCAGAAUCAUUGGGCGUAAAGGGCGCGUAGGCGGCCGAUCAAGUCGGAGGUGAAAUCCCUCGGCUCAACUGAGGAACUGCCUUCGAUACUGUUCGGCUUGAGUCCUGGAGAGGGUAGCGGAAUUCCCGGUGUAGCGGUGAAAUGCGUAGAGACCGGGAAGAACACCAGUGGCGAAGGCGGCUACCUGGACCAACACUGACACUGAUGAGCGAAAGCCAGGGGAGCAAACGGG